rfam:Arabis alpina cultivar Pajares chromosome 4, whole genome shotgun sequence.
GAAAGCAUUACAAGGCGAAUCCUCUAUUGGCAGGGGAAGCUGAUGAUUGAUAUAUUCUCUCAUGCAUCAUUUUGCUCUGCCAAAGGAGAUUUGCCUUGCAAUUCUUAC